AUUGAACGCUGGCGGCAGGCCUAACACAUGCAAGUCGAGCGAGCGGCGGACGGGUGAGUAAUGUAUGGGGACUGCCCGAUAGAGGGGGAUAACUACUGUACACGGUGGCUAAUACCGCAUACUAUCGGAUAACCCAUAUGGGAUUCGAUAGUAGGUGGGGUAAAGGCUCACCUAGCCGACGAUCCCUAGCUGGUCUGAGAGGAUGAUAAGCCACACUGGGACGGAGACAAGGCCCCGACUCAUACGGAGGCGCCAGUGGGGAAUAUUGCACAAGUGACGCAAGCCUGAUGCAAACAUGCCGCGUGUAUGAAGAAGGGCUUAGGGUUGUAAAGUACUUUCAGCGGGGAGGCGUUACCCGCAGAAGAAGCACCGGCUAACUCCGUGCCAGCAGCCGCGGUAAUUC
rnacentral:rRNA from 1 species